rnacentral:rRNA from 1 species
AAUGAACGCUGGCGGCAGGCCUAACACAUGCAAGUCGAACGCGUGGCAGAGGGGUGAAUAGUGUCGGGAAAUGUGCCAGAGGGAGGGGUAACACUACGGAAAGCGGUAGAUAAUACCGCAUACCAUCAUGUUUGCCUCGAUGGGAUUAGAGAGGUGGUGGGGAACUGGCUCACCAAGGCGACUAUCGCUAGCUGGUCUGAGAGGAUGACCAGCCACACGGGAACUGAGACACGGCCCAGACGCCUACGGGAGGCAGCAGUGGGGAAUAUUGCACAAUGGGCGCAAGCCUGAUGCAGCCAUGCCGCGUGUAUGAAGAAGGCCUUAGGGUUGUAAAGUACGUUCAGCGGGGAGGCGUUACCGGCAGAAGAAGCACCGGCUAACUCCGUGCCAGCAGCCGCGGUAAUUC